rnacentral:misc_RNA from 1 species
GUUUGUUCUUAUCGAUCCAUUUCUUCGAGUGUGGGUGUCCUACGCUACUUCCGUUCAUGUUUACGUUCUCAAAAGACCUUGGAAAAACCAACGCCGACCAAAAUCCAAGUCUCCCUUUCUCUUUUGGGAGCAGAGCUGAAAAAGAUGGAAAUAUGUGCUAUGUGGAAUCACCGUAUCUUUCACUUUGGGCUUGACCAAGCAAGCCAGGCGUCUUCAAGAACUUUUAGUUCAACAACGCGAAAAGGAAAUCCAAUUUCGGUAAGACUUUGUCUGAUCUCCAUGCGUCUCGUGGUGGCC